AGAGUUUGAUCCUGGCUCAGAAUCAACGCUGGCGGCGUGCCUAACACAUGCAAGUCGAACGCGAAAGGGGCUUCGGCCCUGAGUAGAGUGGCGAACGGGUGAGUAACACGUGGGUGAUCUACCUUCGAGUGGGGGAUAACGUUCCGAAAGGAGCGCUAAUACCGCAUGACGUUCCGGGUUUGAAGACCUGGAAACCAAAGUCGGGGACCGCAAGGCCUGACGCUUGGAGAGGAGCCCGCGCCUGAUUAGCUAGUUGGUGAGGUAAUGGCUCACCAAGGCGACGAUCAGUAGCCGGCCUGAGAGGGCGGACGGCCACACUGGGACUGAGACACGGCCCAGACUCCUACGGGAGGCAGCAGUGGGGAAUUGUUCGCAAUGGGCGCAAGCCUGACGACGCAACGCCGCGUGGAGGAUGAAGGUCUUCGGAUUGUAAACUCCUGUUGACCGGGAAGAGCGGGCACCGACCUAACACGUCGGGGCAGUGACGGUACCGGUUGAAGAAGCCACGGCUAACUCUGUGCCAGCAGCCGCGGUAAUACAGAGGUGGCAAGCGUUGUUCGGAAUUACUGGGCGUAAAGGGCGCGUAGGCGGCCUUCUAAGUCGGACGUGAAAUCCCCAGGCUUAACUUGGGAACUGCGUCUGAUACUGGAAGGCUUGAGUGCGGGAGAGGGAUGUGGAAUUCCAGGUGUAGCGGUGAAAUGCGUAGAUAUCUG
rnacentral:rRNA from 1 species